rnacentral:tRNA from 1 species
GGGGCACUAGCUCAGUAGGCAGAGCGCAAGACUUUUAAUCUUGUGGUCAUGGGUUCGAUCCCCAUGUGCCCUA